rnacentral:rRNA from 1 species
GAUGAACGCUGGCGGCGCGCCUAACACAUGCAAGUCGAACGAUUAAAGCACCUUCGGGUGUGUAUAAAGUGGCGAACGGCUGAGUAACACGUGGGCAACCUGCCCCUUUCAUCGGGAUAGCCACGGGAAACCGCGGAUAAUACCGAAUACUUCGAGACUUCCGCAUGGAAGACUCGAGAAAGCUCCGGCGGAGAGGGAUGGGCCCGCGGCCUGUUAGCUUGUUGGUGGGGUAACGGCCUACCAAGGCAAUGAUGGGUAGCUGGGUUGAGAGACCGACCAGCCAGAUUGGGACUGAGACACGGCCCAGACUCCUACGGGAGGCAGCAGUGGGGAAUCUUGCACAAUGGGCGAAAGCCUGAUGCAGCGACGCCGCGUGCGGGAUGAAGGCCUUCGGGUUGUAAACCGCUUUCAGCAGGGACGAGGCGAAAGUGACGGUACCUGCAGAAGAAGCCCCGGCUAACUACGUG